AUUCGAUUUACAUAAAACAUUUGUAAAAACCUUGGUAUAUAAAAGAAUGACUAUGUAAUAAACAAAAAAAUUUCUUUUUACUUCUGACACUGAAAACGCGUUUUCUUCGCUCAAAACGAAAGCGUUCUACCGAUGGUCAUUUUGUCAAAUGACGAUGAUAGCGGAUACUGAUCGGAACGUUAUAGCUUUUCAAUCACCCAAUUACCGCAAAAAUUAAAUGAGAUAUUUGAAGUGGUUCAACUCUCCCAUAUGGUCAGGUCUCCCGAAUUCCCCUAUAUUCCUCUGUGGAUAUUUAUACGGGUGUCAUCAGUAUGUAAUAUUGUAAGAAUUUACGAUUUAGAGUUUCUGCAUAACAUUUUCCCCCCUUUCCAACCAGUAAGAUUACUAAAGGGCGGGACCAAUUCUAACCACAGGCUGCAUCCACACCCGUGGAAGGGGCAGAUGGUGAAGGACGGGGAUCGCAGAAUCCCGAAAAAA
rnacentral:lncRNA from 1 species